rnacentral:rRNA from 1 species
UUCGUAGGUGGUGCGGCAAGUUGGAAGUGAAAUCUCUGGGCUUAACCCAGAGGCUGCUUUCAAAACUGCCGUGCUCGAGUGCGAGAGAGGUCAGUGGAAUUGCAGGUGUAGCGGUGAAAUGCGUAGAUAUCUGCAGGAACACCCGUGGCGAAGGCGGCUGACUGGAUCGCAACUGACACUGAGGAACAAAGCUAGGGAGCAAACA